rnacentral:rRNA from 1 species
UCCGGUGAUAAUGGCGUAGAGGAUCCACCUGUUCCCAUACCGCGCGAGCGCAGAGCGCGACACCCUGCCGAAGAUUCCCGUUUGCGGGAUACGGCAGAACACAGAAGUUAAGCUCUAUUGCGCCGCCCGUCGACGAAGUCGCCGCAC